GACGAACGCUGGCGGCGUGCCUAAUACAUGCAAGUCGAGCGAACAAGCUUGGUGCUUGCUCCAAUUUGAAGAGCAGCGAACGGGUGAGUAACGCGUGGGGAAUCUGCCUUUGAGCGUGGGACAACAUUUGGAAACGGAUGCUAAUACCGCAUAACAUCUUUAAACAUAAGGUUCAAUAUUGAAAGAUGCAAUUGCUUCACUUAAUAGUGAUCCCGCCUUGUAUUAGCUAGUUUGUGAGGUAAAGGCUCUACAAGGCGAUGAUACCUUGCCGGACUGGGAGGGUGGUCGGCCACAUUGGGACUGGGACCCGGCCCAAGCUCCUACGGGGGGCAGCAGGAGGGAAACUUCCGCAAUGGGCGGAAGUCUGACCGAGCAACGCCGGGGGAGUGAAGAAGGUUUUCGGGUCGGAAAACUCUGUUGGUAGGGGAGAAAGAUAGUGAGAAUUGAAAGCGCACCUAGUGACGGUAACUACUCAGAAAGCCACGGCUAACUACGUG
rnacentral:rRNA from 1 species